rnacentral:rRNA from 1 species
GACGAACGCUGGCGGCGUGCCUAAUACAUGCAAGUCGAGCGGAUGACGGAGGAGCUUGCUCCUCCUGAUUCAGCGGCGGACGGGUGAGUAACACGUGGGCAACCUGCCCUGUAGAUUGGGAUAACUCCGGGAAACCGGGGCUAAUACCGAAUAAUCCUUCGGACCUCAUAGUCAGAUGCUGAAAGACGGCAUCUCGCUGUCACUACAGGAUGGGCCCGCGGCGCAUUAGCUAGUUGGUGAGGUAACGGCUCACCAAGGCCACGAUGCGUAGCCGACCUGAGAGGGUGAUCGGCCACACUGGGACUGAGACACGGCCCAGACUCCUACGGGAGGCAGCAGUAGGGAAUCUUCCACAAUGGACGAAAGUCUGAUGGAGCAACGCCGCGUGAGUGAAGAAGGUUCUCGGAUCGUAAAACUCUGUUGUGAGGGAAGAACAAGUACCGGAGUAACUGCCGGUGCCUUGACGGUACCUCAUUAGAAAGCCACGGCUAACUACGUGCCAGCCGCCGCGGUAAUAC